GAUGAACGCUGGCGGCGUGCUUAACACAUGCAAGUCGAACGGAAAGGCCCAAGCUUGCUUGGGUACUCGAGUGGCGAACGGGUGAGUAACACGUGGGUGAUCUGCCCUGCACUUCGGGAUAAGCCUGGGAAACUGGGUCUAAUACCGGAUAGGACCACAUUUUGGAUGGUGUGGUGGAAAGUUUUUCGGUGUGGGAUGAGCUCGCGGCCUAUCAGCUUGUUGGUGGGGUAAUGGCCUACCAAGGCGUCGACGGGUAGCCGGCCUGAGAGGGUGUACGGCCACAUUGGGACUGAGAUACGGCCCAGACUCCUACGGGAGGCAGCAGUGGGGAAUAUUGCACAAUGGGCGCAAGCCUGAUGCAGCGACGCCGCGUGGGGGAGGACGGCCUUCGGGUUGUAAACGCCUUUCGCUAGGGACGAAGCGUUAUGUGACGGUACCUGGAGAAGAAGCACCGGCUAACUACGUG
rnacentral:rRNA from 1 species